rnacentral:tRNA from 1 species
GAGGGUAUAGCUCAAGUGGUAGAGUGCAGGCUUAGCGUGCACAAGGUCCUGGGUUCAAUCCACAGUACCUUCU